AUGCACCACGCGUCCAUUGCGAUGCCUGUGCGCCGGCCGCACCCACCUGACGACUGCUCGCCAGGUUUUUGGGGC
rnacentral:sRNA from 1 species